rnacentral:tRNA from 1 species
CAGAGAGUAGUUUAUUAAAAUAUUAGUUUUGGAGACUGGUGAUGGGUUUUUCUCUUCUCUGA